CCAUGUGAUGCAGACAGAGACUCCAUCGCUCUUGGCGACAGGGAAUAGCUGGAACAACUAGACUUGAAAGCUAUACAGUAGAAUCACUCCUUUAUUGUAUUAUGGUCUCUUACUGAACGUGGAACUUACUGAUUGAGCUAGGCUGACUGGCCAAACCUUAGGGAUUCUCCUGUCUCUGUCGCUCCAGUUCUGGGAUUAUAGAAUCUCUGGCAUGCAAUAGAUGUUCAAUAAAUGGGAGCCGAGCUCGCUGCUGUUAUCGGCGAUGGUGAUGGUGUGGUUAGUGGUUCAUUCAUCAGUCUCAGUGCAUUGCAGAUACGGAUCAACAGAAGCCCUCCAUCAUCCUAUUGUGUCCACGUGUGCAGAGAGGAGCAAUGAGCAGUUGGAGCUGUGGAGGAAGUCAUUAGACAGUAUUAAAUGGGUGGGAACGGGGGUGCAAAUCCCAGGAGGAGAG